UCCGCGUACAGGAGAGGGAAGGGUCGGGCCCGACCAGGCGGCCCAGUCACCAGAAGACAGGACGCCGCAGCAGCCGCCCAGCGCGGAGCGCUGGGAUCCUCCCAGGAUCGUCCCUUUUUCCCCCUGGCGCCCGUUUUGACAGCUACUCCACGAUUGGUCCGUGAGACAGGCCCCGCCCCCAACUUCCGAGAGGCUGCGCUCAUCCAGUGUUUUGGGAUUCCAGCCCCGGCCACCGCAAGCCCCGCCCCCGCUUCCGGCGGCCGGACCCCGAGUGGUUUCCUGUCCACCGUCGCUCGCGGGCGGGUGUGGUGACCUCUAAGGGGCCCCUCACCCACCCCCAGGUAGAGUCACUGCGGCCCGAGGAGCUCAAGUGAUUUUCCCAAAGCCACUCAUCACUAUUCAGUCACCAUGCUGGGGACCGUCGUAAUAAUGCUAAUGCCGAUAACGCCCCAGCCACUGGGCACCUGGACCAGGUGAUUUACACGUUUAAUCCAGACGACAGUGUGAGGUCCUCACUUACCCACAGCCCUGGAGUCACUAUUCCAGCUCCUUCUCUCUCCGUCUCUCUUCUGUCUCGUCCCCACCACCACCAGAGAAUUCCUCAGUGCAGGGGGAGUUGCAAAAAACAAGAGAAGCAAACUCUGCCUGAUCUGUCAUUUUGAACCAGACGCCCGUACGUGUCUCUUUAAGCACUGAGUACUGAUCAACUCACGGAAAGUCUGCGUCACAAAGCCCGCUUUCCAUCUUUUAUUCAAAUAGGGUAUAAGUCAUCCAUGUUUUACUGCACAUGUCAGAAUUUUUUACCAUGUUACAGAAUGGGCCAAAUCAAUCAUGAUGUAAACAUGCCAACUCUGAGGACUUACGAUAUAUUUCUGAGUUAAAUCUUACAAAGGAGUUCUGUAAUUCAUUAACAGUCCUUAAUGAAUGCUGUUGACUCUUCCUCCACCUCUCUCAGGGAUGAAGCCAAGAAAUCCAAUGCAAAAGCUUGGAGCUCUGCAAGAAGACAAUAGCAAUUGUAUAAGAUACUGCUGUCGAAAUGUAUCAGCAAUAAUGGAUAGCACUGUGGCUGUCUCAAGUUACUAAGCAUUAAAAAUAGAAACAUGGCUUA